AUGANUGGGAAUGGCACAGGGAAUGGCAGGGAAUGGCAUUGGGAAUGGCACUGGGAAUGGCACAGGGAUUGGCACAGGGAAUGGCAGGGAAUGGCACAGGGAAUGGCAUUGGGAAUGGCAGGGAAUGGCACAGGGAAUGGCACAGGCAUUGGCAUUGGGAAUGGCACAGGGAUUGGCAUUGGGAAUGGCAUUGGGAAUGGCAGGGAAUGGCAUUGGGAUUGGCACUGGGAAUGGCAGGGAAUGGCACAGGGAAUGGCAUUGGGAAUGGCAUUGGGAAUGGCACAGGGAAUGGCAGGGAAUGGCACAGGGAAUGGCAGGGAAUGGCAUUGGGAUUGGCAUUGGGAAUGGCAGGGAAUGGCACUGGGAAUGGCAGGGAAUGGUAUUGGGAAUGGUAUUGGGAAUGGCACAGGGAAUGGCACUGGGAUUGGCAUUGGGAAUGGCAGGGAAUGGCAGGGAAUGGCACAGGGAUUGGCACAGGGAAUGGCACAGGAAUGGCACAGGGAAUGGCACAGGAUUGGCACAGGGAAUGGCACUGGGAAUGGCAGGGAAUGGCAUUGGGAAUGGCACAGGGAAUGGCAGGGAAUGGCACAGGGAAUGGCAGGGAAUGGCAUUGGGAAUGGCAGGGAAUGGCACAGGGAAUGGCACAGGGAAUGGCAGGGAAUGGCACUGGGAAUGGCAGGGAAUGGCACAGGGAAUGGCACAGGGAAUGGCAGGGAAUGGCACAGGGAAUGGCACUGGAUUGGCACAGGGAAUGGCAGGGAAUGGCACAGGGAAUGGCACAGGGAAUGGCAUUGGGAAUGGCACAGGGAAUGGCAGGGAAUGGCACAGGGAAUGGCAGGGAAUGGCACAGGGAUUGGCACAGGGAAUGGCAGGGAUUGGCAUUGGGAAUGGCAGGGAUUGGCAUUGGGAUUGGCACAGGGAUUGGCACUGGAUUGGCACAGGAAACAGCACGGAUUGGCGCAGGGAAUGGCACAGGGAAUGGCACAGGGAAUGGCAGGGAAUGGCACAGGGAAUGGCACAGGAUUGGCACAGGAUUGGCAUUGGGAUUGGCAGGGAAUGGGGAAUCUCUCAGGGAUGCCAGGAGAAUGUCAGAGAUACAACUGCAGAGACUCAGGGAUGAAAUCCUGGAGGAGAUCAGGGAUAAACCUGGAAACCACCAGGGAUAAACCUGGAAACCACCAGGGAUAA
rnacentral:lncRNA from 1 species